UACAGAGGGUGCAAGCGUUGUCCGGAUUGACUGGGCGUAAAGCGCACGCAGGCGGAUGCGCGCGUGGGGUGUGAAAUCUGGCCGCUUAACGGCCAGGCGCCAUCCCAUACGGCGCGUCUGGAGUGAUGCAGAGGUCGGUGGAAUUGCCGGUGUAGUGGUGAAAUGCGUAGAGAUCGGCAGGAACACCCAGGGGGAAACCAGCCGACUGGGCAUCGACUGACGCUGAGGUGCGAGAGCGUGGGGAGCGAACCGG
rnacentral:rRNA from 1 species